rnacentral:rRNA from 1 species
CAGUCGCCACGGUAAUACAGAGGGUGCGAGCGUUAAUCGGAUUUACUGGGCGUAAAGCGUGCGUAGGCGGCUUUUUAAGUCGGAUGUGAAAUCCCUGAGCUUAACUUAGGAAUUGCAUUCGAUACUGGGAAGCUAGAGUAUGGGAGAGGAUGGUAGAAUUCCAGGUGUAGCGGUGAAAUGCGUAGAGAUCUGGAGGAAUACCGAUGGCGAAGGCAGCCAUCUGGCCUAAUACUGACGCUGAGGUACGAAAGCAUGGGGAGCAAACAGGAUUAGAGUCCCCAGUAGUCCCUGUCUCUUAUAA